UACGUAGGUGGCAAGCGUUGUCCGGAGUUAUUGGGCGUAAAGCGCGCGCAGGCGGUGCGGUAAGUCUCUGGUGAAAGCGCUCGGCUUAACUGGGCGAGGGCCGGGGAGACUGCCACGCUGGAGGGGAGCAGAGGCGAGUGGAAUUCCGGGUGUAGUGGUGAAAUGCGUAGAUAUCGGAAGGAACACCUGUGGCGAAAGCGGCUCACUGGACCAUUACUGACGCUGAGGCACGAAAGCUAGGGGAGCAAACAGG
rnacentral:rRNA from 1 species